UACAGAGGUCUCAAGCGUUGUUCGGAUUCAUUGGGCGUAAAGGGUGUGUAGGUGGCGCCGUAAGUCGGGUGUGAAAUUUCGGAGCUUAACUCCGAAACUGCAUUCGAUACUGCGGUGCUUGAGGACUGGAGAGGAGACUGGAAUUCAUGGUGUAGCAGUGAAAUGCGUAGAGAUCAUGAGGAAGACCAGUGGCGAAAGCGGCGAGCUGGAUCACUACUGACGCUGAGGAACGAAAGCUAGGGGAGCAAACAGG
rnacentral:rRNA from 1 species